rnacentral:rRNA from 1 species
GUAGGUGGCAAGCGUUGUCCGGAAUUAUUGGGCGUAAAGCGCGCGCAGGCGGUUCUUUAAGUCUGAUGUGAAAGCCCACGGCUCAACCGUGGAGGGUCAUUGGAAACUGGAGAACUUGAGUACAGAAGAGGAAAGCGGAAUUCCACGUGUAGCGGUGAAAUGCGUAGAGAUGUGGAGGAACACCAGUGGCGAAGGCGGCUUUCUGGUCUGUAACUGACGCUGAGGCGCGAAAGCGUGGGGAGCAAACAGGAUUAGAUACCCUGGUAGUCCACGCCGUAAACGAUGAGUGCUAAGUGUUAGGGGGGUUUCCGCCCCCCUUAGUGCUGCAGCUAACGCAUUAAGCACUCCGCCUGGGAGUACGGCCGCAAGGCUA